rnacentral:pre_miRNA from 1 species
GGAGCAGAUUGCAACCAAGAAUGACUUGCUGGCCGGCAUUGUCAAAAUUCAAAAGGAAUACUAAUCAGCUAGUCGAGCCAGCAAGUUGCCCUUAGCUACAUUUAGUUCCCU